CUAAGUACCCUGAGGAAGAGAAAACAAAAGUGAUUCCGUCAGUAGCGGCGAGCGAACGCGGAUUAGCCUAAACCAGAGAGCUUGCUCUCUGGGGUUGUGGGACGUCUCACACGGAGUUACAAAGGAAGAGGUUAGACGAACAGGUCUGGAAAGGCCGGCCAUAGAAGGUAAAAGCCCUGUAAUCGAAAGUCUGUUCCCUCCGAGACGGAUCCCGAGUAGUGCGGGGCACGUGAAACCCC
rnacentral:rRNA from 1 species